UACUACUAAACCUAUGAUAUUAAUCAGGGCUGUAUUUAUGCUACUGUCACCAUUCCUCUUUGACUGACCAAAUACAUCCCUGAUGUGGCAUCACCUUUUUUGGUCUGGCAUUUCCGUUUCCGCUUCAUUUUUAAACCAUUGGCGGACGACUUACUUGGUUCGCCGAAAUGUUGCCGGUAGUUUUCCUCAAAAAAACCUAAAAAUUAUUCAGCAGAAAAGCAGGGUUUCUUCAAUGAGAAAACUCGUGUUUGCCAUUGGUAAGCUUGUGCGUACAUAUCGCAAAAAAAUGGUGGCGUGGUUUUACGCACACAUACGUUUAUACGCACAUGAACCCUUUCAACACUCGGCGUUAUCAAUGCUGUUUCAUUGUGUCUCAAUGCAGUCAAUGCAGAAUGCCUUUACACACAUGCCUGUUAUCAUCGGCAGAAUUAUUUCGUACACACCGCUGCCGGCAAUGGCAGAACUUUUUAACACACAUUACUGUGAGCAAAGACAGAAUUACUGUACUCAUACCGCUGUUAGCAUUGGCAGAACUAAUAAAAACACACAUCGCUGUCGGUAGCGUUAUUACACGAACAUCGUCAUAUGUGUGUUGUCGUAUGAAGGGUCUACCAUUUCAUUUACACGAAACAACGACCAUAAAAGAAUGGUAAUUAAGAGUUAUUCAUUUGGCAGAUGAGCAUAUUAGAAUUUUAUAUAUGAAGAUACUCUUCAAUUGGCGUAUUCGGUAUUCCAGAAUUUUAUUGUCCAUUAAAUUCAAUUACAUAUAUGGCCCAUUGAUUGUGUGUUUUCGGAGCGGUAAUGUUGGUGGAUAAUCUAUAGUUAUGCACAUAUGGCGGUUGGCGUGGCUUAAUAGGCCGACUGCUAAUUGGAACAUAUGGUGGCAUGAGUUUCAUGGGCGACGUACAUGAAAAAGUUUUUCCAACUACCUGUGUGCCACGAUUUUUCGCCCAUUUAUAAACACUAUUACCCUCGUCUCCUAUGUGCGUGUUUGAUAUUAUCGGACAAGCAGUAAAAUAGGACCUUUUCGUGUUUCAAACUGUAAACAUUUAUGGCAAAGUGUCUCAACCUUAAAUACGGUUCAUUGGGUUUUAAGGCCGCAAGGAAAGUUCAAAAUUUCGGAGCUAUCUGCACGGUGUACCACAAAAAUGUUACCUGGUCAUCUCGGAUACAACAAAAAGAGCAUCACCACAGGCUCAGGGGGAUUUACCAGUUACUUAUGCCGCUCCUCGGACUGGUCAAGUUUUCGAAUCUGGAUUUUUGUCCAAUUAAAUUAUUGAAAAAUCUGCCCUCCUCCCGUUUGGAAAAUUGAGGAGGACAGUCAAAUCGUUGUUAACUGUUGUGGUGCAAUAUUAAAAGACAAAAGAAACCCCACCGAGCAUCAGUCAGUAACAGACAAAAUUAAGAUUCACCAUCAACACUUACUUUUAAGUUUGUCUGCCCAAAACAUAGAUUAACACUCUUCAAUAAAAUAACUCAAAAUUC